rnacentral:rRNA from 1 species
UCCGUAGGUGAACCUGCGGAGGGAUCAUUACAAGUGACCCCGGUCUAACCACCGGGAUGUUCAUAACCCUUUGUUGUCCGACUCUGUUGCCUCCGGGGCGACCCUGCCUUCGGGCGGGGGCUCCGGGUGGACACUUCAAACUCUUGCGUAACUUUGCAGUCUGAGUAAAUUUAAUUAAUAAAUUAAAACUUUUAACAACGGAUCUCUUGGUUCUGGCAUCGAUGAAGAACGCAGCGAAAUGCGAUAAGUAAUGUGAAUUGCAGAAUUCAGUGAAUCAUCGAAUCUUUGAACGCACAUUGCGCCCCCUGGUAUUCCGGGGGGCAUGCCUGUUCGAGCGUCAUUUCACCACUCAAGCCUCGCUUGGUAUUGGGCAACGCGGUCCGCUGCGUGCCUCAAAUCGACCGGCUGGGUCUUCUGUCCCCUAAGCGUUGUGGAAACUAUUCGCUAAAGGGUGCUCGGGAGGCUACGCCGUAAAACAAACCCAUUUCUAAGGUUGACCUCGGAUCAGGUAGGGAUACCCGCUGAACUUAAGCAUAUCAAUAAGCGGAAGAAAAGAAACCAA